UUGAAGUUUGAACACAUUUGUUUGUGACAUUCACACACUUGUAACAUAGUACUCUAUGAAUCUCAAUUUUUGUCUAUAUAAAAGGGUACACUCUUUGUCUUCCACUCAACCCAAAGAAUCUAAGUGAUAAGGUCAUAAAUAAGUGAACUCAUCACUAUGUCAAAAUUAGGCACUCUCUUCACCUUAACUCUUUUAUUAAGCUUGUGUUUAACUUAUGCCUCUCGUCCUAAUCUUGGAUUUAAAGCUGUCUCUUCUCUACAUGAGGAUAUUGAUGGUAUAGCAAGGUAUCAAGUGUAGAUUUGGAUGAUGAGAGUUGUGAAGGAAUUGAAAGAGAACAAGAAUGUUUGACAAGAAGGACACUAAUGGCACAUCUUGAUUAUAUCUAUACUCAACAUAAACCCAAAAACUAGUGAAAUCCACCCUACCUUUGGAAACAAAAUAAUAGUUCAAAUAGAGCAAUAUAUGUGAUGUAAAGCUUGUUUUUUUCAUGUAUAAAAAAUAUGCUUAAUUUAUAUUUCAA